rfam:Schistosoma margrebowiei strain Zambia genome assembly, scaffold: SMRZ_contig0000176
GCACUGCUAAGGUGUCCCACAACAGGACGAAACGGCCGUUCAGUGC